rnacentral:rRNA from 1 species
GGGGGAUAUUGCACAAUGGGGGAAACCCUGAUGCAGCGACGCCGCGUGGGUGAAGAAGCGCCUCGGCGCGUAAAGCCCUGUCAGCAGGGAAGAAAAUGACGGUACCUGAAGAAGAAGCCCCGGCUAACUACGUGCC